ACUUUUGGUCAAUGGGGGCAACCCUGAUCCAGCCAUUCCGCGUGUGUGAUGAAGGCCUUCGUGUUGUCAAGCACUUUUGGCAGAGCAGCAAUGGUUUGGGUUAAUGCCCUGAAUCGAUGACGGUCUCUGCAGAAUCAGCACCGGCUAACUACGUGCCAGCAGCCGCGGUAAUACGUAGGGUGCAAGCGUUAAUCGGAAUUACUGGGCGUAAAGCGUGCGCAGGAGGUUCAGAAAGAAAGAUGGGAAAUCCCAGGGCUCAACCUUGGAACUGCAUGUUUAACACCCGGACUAGAGUAGGUCAGAGGGGGGUGGAAUUCCACGUGUAGCAGUGAAAUGCGUAGAGAUGUGGAGGAACACCGAUGGCGAAGGCAGCCCCCUGGGAUAAUACUGACGCUCAGGCACGAAAGCGUGGGUAGCAAACA
rnacentral:rRNA from 1 species